CCAAGAAAUUAUCAAGAUUAGAAAUUAGGAAAAAGGAACAUUAAAACAAUGAUUAGAAAUAUAUUUCAUAUUAUAAAAAAGAGAGGAAAGCAUAAGCAUGGUAAAAAGAGACAUGGUAGAUAUAAAAAUAACCUAAGUCAAACUUCUGAAGAUGAAAAAUACAAUGUCUUAGGUAAAGAAAAAAAAAAAACAUGUAGAAUUAAAAAUAGUUUAAUACUGCAGACAAAAAAAAAUGUACAGAACAUCAUUGAGCUGUGCGACAAUUUUAAGCAGCCUAAUAUAUGAGUAAUUGAAGUCCCAAAAGGAGAAGAGAGAGUGGAAGGGAAGAGAAAAGCAGUUUGAAGAAACAAUGACCCCAAAAUUUUUAAUUUUGAUUAAAACAACACAACCAUGAAACAUGAAAAAAGCUAUACAAAGGCAUAUCAGUAAUUAAAUAGCCUAAAAUACACUGAAUUUAAGUGAAUUUUGAAAAUAUUUUAAAUGUCUCCCGCAAAAAACAAAAUACAGUUGGUCCUCAAACAAUGUGAGUUUGAACUGAGUGGGUCCACUUAACACAAUAAUUUUUUGCAAUAAGUAUAGUCAGCCCUCCAUACCAGCCAGUUCCAAAUUCACAACCAAACACAGAUUGAAAAUUCAGUAUUGGAGGGAUGCAAAUCCCACGUGUAAAGAGGGCCGACUUUGCAUAUCCACGAUUUCUGCAGUACCGAUGGCGGGACUGGAGUAUGAGCAGAUUUUGGUAUCCACAAGUGGUUCUGGAACAAAUUCCCCACAGAUACUGAGGAACGACUAAACGGCCUAGACCUGAUCCAAAGUCAGUUUUGUGCUUUGUUCCUAUGACGUUGGCCCAUAAUAUUUUCUUUUCUUUUCUUUUCUUUUCUUUUUUUUGAGACAGUUUCACUCUCGUUACCAAGGCUGAAGUGCAAUGGCACCAACUCAGCUCACCGCAACCUCCGCCUCCUGGGUUCAAGCGAUUCUCCUGCCUCAGCCUCCCGAUGCUGGGUUCACAGGUAUGAGUCACCACGCCCAGCCCAGUUUCUGUUUUGACUAGAUGGUUUGGAUAUAAUCCUAGUAAAAUCUGAUGUACACCCAACUUGCCUUUUCUACAAGUCUGUGAACAUUUGAUUGGUUGAAAUGAUACCUAAAUGUCUUAGGUUGAGCCACAACAAGCUCCACUAACUUUCAAUAGUAAAGCUUAGAGCAUGUCUGUAGCCCUAAAAAAUGUGAGAAUAUUCAGAUCAACUUUCUGUGUUGAAUUUCAUCUCCUCAUUUCUAUUUGUUCAUCUACAAGUUUAUUUCUGUAAUUCUAUUUUUACUUAUGGAGAUUUCAAAUGUCUAUAUCUUGCUUUAUUUAAUUGAAGUAUUCCAGACACCUUAGGUUGGAACAGAACUUUUUCUAUCUAUUUAUACUUCAGGGGCAUUUAGGGAACUUGUUGUUUAAAAGAAAUCAUUUUCUGAUUUUUUUUUUUUUUUUGGAAACAGGGUUUUACUUCUGUUUCCCAGGCCGGAGAACAGUGGGGCGGGUCUGCAUGCCACAGUUCACUGUGGCCUUAACUUACGGGGCUCAGGUGAUUUUCCCAUCUCAGCCUCCUGAAUAGCUGUGACUACAGGCGUAUGCCACCAAGCCUCACUAAUUUUUUGUUUUCUUUGUAGAGGUGUUGCCCAGGCUGGUCUCGAACUCCUGGGCUCAAGCAAUCCACCCACUUUGGCCUCCCAAAGGGCUGAAAUGACAGGCGUGAGCCACCCUGCCUGGCCCAUUUUCUGAAUUUUUUGGUCUAAAUCUGAUUUUUAGAUAUCAAAUUUGCUUAAUACAAGGUACACGGCCAGGCACAGUGGCUCACGCCUGUAAUCCCAGCACUUUAAGAGGCCAAUGCAGGCAAAUCACUUGAGGUCAG
rnacentral:lncRNA from 1 species